CCUACGGGUGGCUGCAGUAGGGAAUAUUGCUCAAUGGGGGAAACCCUGAAGCAGCAACGCCGCGUGGAGGAUGAAGGUUUUCGGAUUGUAAACUCCUUUUGUUAGAGAAGAUAAUGACGGUAUCUAACGAAUAAGCACCGGCUAACUCCGUGCCAGCAGCCGCGGUAAUACGGAGGGUGCAAGCGUUACUCGGAAUCACUGGGCGUAAAGAGCGCGUAGGCGGGGUAGCAAGUCAGAUGUGAAAUCCUAUGGCUUAACCAGAGAACUGCAUUUGAAACUGGUACUCUAGAGUAUGGGAGAGGUAGGUGGAAUUCUUGGUGUAGGGGUGAAAUGCGUAGAGAUCGAGAGGAAUACUCAUUGCGAAGGCGACCUGCUAGAACAUAACUGACGCUGAGGCGCGAAAGCGUGGGGAGCGAACAGGAUUAGAUACCCGAGUAGUC
rnacentral:rRNA from 1 species